GAGGACAGGUUUCCCUCGGCCAUUGGUUGCCCGGAUAUAUCACCAUACCUAGCUUCCAUCUUUUUGCCACGUAUUGCCGGCCCCCAUACGUACUCAACCCUAUAAAUCAAACCCUUACAUUUCAGAGUUGAAUCGUUUAAGAAAAAAUGCCAGACCAUCCACCACCACCACACGGCGGCCACGGUCACGCACCACCCCCAGGUCCGGGACACCACGAGCCUCCUCCGCCCCAUGGCCAUGCUCCUCCUCCGGGGCCUCAUGCACCUCCUCCGGGACCCCAUGCACCUCCUCCGGGACCCCAUGCACCUCCUCCGGAACCCCAUGCACCUCCUCCGGGACCCCAUGCACCUCCUCAUGAUCCACACAAGCCACAUGACUGUCACCACGGUCACCACCACCCAUGAACCGAACUAGUCAUGAGGCCACGAUCGAGAAGCUAGUCUCAGCAAGUUGUUAUCUAUUUAUCUUUGUGCCUGUAAUGUGAUCUAGCUGCGGUUGUAGUUCUGAGUUGCUGGGUUUACUGGCUUUGCUCCAUUGAUCUCAUCGUUAUGUAAUGACUAAAAUAUGAGGACUAUGUAUGUAUCCAAAAGAAGGCUGAUCAUAUAUGUAUAAUAAGAAGAGUACUGGCUUUGUGGUUUAUGUAUAAUCCGCUUGUGUAAAACUUCUUCUUUUAUCCGUCUAAAUGUGAUGUAUAAUCAGAAAAUAUGGCCAGUUUGUCAUCUUGACCAACCUGAACUUACAAACUAAUUAAUUAAGUCAAUCUCCCCAAUUUCAUCAAUCUUCAUUAGGAUUUCAUCACUAGCUCAUUCCUUCACAGAUAAUUAACCAUUUGCUCGAUUGCUCUUAACAAACUGUAAUAGCCAAGAGGCAAACGCAUCCAUCUAAAUUCUAAAAAGUUAUUAACACAGGCUAGGGGUAAAUUAUCCUUUGUUCAGACCAAUCUCACAGUUGAAGCGAUGAAUUGGCUAAAACAAAAGCCUACGGGCAGAAAAACAAAGCAUCUCUAUUCGUACGGAAGAAUGACUUCCAUAUAUAGUAAGCCUUAUAGUUAUAACACCGUAAGUGUAUAAGAAUAGGAAUUCAUAAACGCAAUAAGAAGAAGACCGUGAAAGAGAUCGAAGAUUAAAGCAGGCCUUAAUGUCUUGUAUAUUCUGUACAAAAUUUCAACAGCCAGAUUUUCUCGAUGCAUUCGUCAGCUUCUGUUUGUAACCUUUCUUCUGUCAAAUCCUCCAUGGCUUUUCACGAGCAAUAAUUCUUGCAAGGUCCCAUUAACAAGCCUCACGUACGUUGUUCUUAUCUCCUUUUCCUUAGCUCACCAAGAAUUCAACUAUUACCAAGUGCAGCAACUAGUUUCUGUGAUCGAUCUACGGAAAGUUAAAGUUAUUGCUCAAAAGAGAAAGAGAAAACGGAAGUUAAAGUUCCAUGCUGCCCUAGUUCAAGUACGCACUCAGUUAUGAUCUUGUGGUUCUUACAAUGGAUGAAUGGAUGAAGCAUUACCACACAAAUACUCAGAAGAGAAAAACAAAACAACCACAGUGCACGAUUAACAUGCUAGCUAGCUUUCAUUGUGUGCAAAUAUCCUGAGCUACCAUUCC
rnacentral:lncRNA from 1 species